rnacentral:lncRNA from 1 species
CGACUAUAAAAGAGGUGAAAACUCAGGUAUGCAGGCUAUAGGGAUUCAAGGUAAAGCUUUAGCAAGAUCAAAGCAUUUCUUUUGCAUAAAAGCUUACUAAGAGUAAAACCUACUUUCAAGUUUUAACUCAAGGUUAUCAUUUAUGACUAACCAAUUAUUAUCAAGCUUCCAAACCAUAUCUUUCUUAUACCAAAGAUUCACUUAUUACUACGAUGAUGGUACGAGGAUUGAGGCUCCAUAUCCGAGGAAACAC